rnacentral:misc_RNA from 1 species
GCUUAUUGAAAAAGGGAUUUUACUGUAAGGGAAAUUAAACCUGGGAAAACCUGCUGAUAUCAUACAUGGUUCCUUGUUAUGCAUGUUAUCCAUUUGUUGUAGAGGGGAAGAGGCACAACCAUCAAGGUACAUCAAAGUUUCACAGGACAGAGGGAAAAACUCACUUGAAAAUUCUGAAAGAAUAAGGUUGGACAAUAUUAGUAAAAGAUAGCCCGAAAUGCAUGAUUCUGCCCAAUGAAUGUGCAGUUCCCCAAAGGCAGA